AGCUCUAAUAGCGUAUAUUAAAGUUGUUGCAGUUAAAAAGCUCGUAGUUGGAUUUUGGGAUUGGAGGACUGGUCGGGUGUAAGCUCAGAAUCGGUACUCUGGUUCUUCCUUCUAGAAACCGCGUACUUCCUCUUAGUUGAGUGGUGCGUGUGGUCUAGGACAUUUACUUUGAGCAAAAUAGAGUGCUUAAGGCAGGCUAACGCCUUGAAUACAUUAGCAUGGAAUAAUCUUAUAGGACUUUGGUUCUAUUUUGUUGGUUUAAGGACCGAAGUAAUGAUUAAUAGGGAUAGUUGGGGGCAUUCAUAUUUAAUUGUCAGAGGUGAAAUUCUAAGAUUUAUGAAAGAUGAACUUCUGCGAAAGCAUUUGCCAAGGAUGUUUUCAUUAAUCAAGAACGAAAGUA
rnacentral:rRNA from 1 species